GAAAAAAACUAUGCAUGAAGUUAAAGUUUACCAUUUUGUACGGUUUCAACCGAUAUCAUAAAACUUGGAAAAAUUUUCCAUGAAAAAAUCGUGAGAGCAGGGUAAAGUUACCCUAGAAAAAAGUCGGACCCCAGAGGUCCGGGGUCCGAAUUUUUUCGACAUAUUAAGAAAAUAAUCGACGCAUCGUUCCUCUUCGACCGCUCGCUUUCCCAACGGUGCUCUCCACCACUGCUGCCGCUCAAUCUCCAGCCGGUGCUCUCCACCACCAUCAUCGUAUCCCGAAGUUAAUUGCAGUUUGGCGACUGAGGGUUUUAAUCAAGGAGUCCCGAUUCUCUCAAGCGCAUCAUCUAAGUAUGCUGACAAGGUCACCUAAGUCCCCAUAAGAUGAGAAAGGAGAAGAAGGAACCUAAUGGGAUGAAUUUGCCUUAAAAUUCACAGAUCAGUGACGGUUUGCGACAGAAGUUAGUUAGUUAGAGAUGGGUUCUCCAAUUGCUUAUUAUGGAAGACCAAUUUGAGAAAAUCCAAAACUGAGAAAUAGAGAGGAUCAAGCAGAACAAGGUGAGAACUCUAUUACAUCUUAGUGAAGCUUGGCGCUAUUGGAAGGCAAACAUUCCUUGGAAGGUCCCUGGACUUCCAGUACCCGUUGAGAGAUUCUUUGGUUUGUGAAGUCGAAGGCUGAUUGGUGGACAAAUGUUGCUCACUAUAACUGUGAACUUAUCAGAAGAGGUGCAAAACAGUUUGCAGCACACAACGGUUGACGUGGCUAAGAAGAGGAACGAAGAAAAGAGGGCGGUGGAGAGGAGAAAUCACACUUGGGCCACCAUCAUUGCCAUGGAAUUGCCUGUUGAUCCUCAAUCGAUGUUGUGGAUGAGAUGUCACUCUAAAAAUCUGGAAUUGGAUCUCGAAUUGAUGAACUAGACAUUUGCUUAUCCAUCUAUAGGAACAAGUUUUCUCAGAGACCUUAAACUUAAUCUCAUGCUUACGGGGGGCAUUUGAGAUCCUUUUGAUGAAAAAGGCAGAAAAUCAGAAGACAAGGAAAGUCAACGACUUUGGGAUCAAAUGAAAAUUUCAUCUUGGCAAAAAUGAUCUUGCCUAUGAUAAUAAGUGAUUUCUUUCUUAUAAAAGGGAGUUGACUCUAUCAUUGUAAUCAUCUUCUUAUCAAUAAAACAAAAGUCUGAGUGCCCUCCGAUCGUGGACGUAGGCUUAUCUAAGCCGAACCACGUUAAUUA